GCUUACGGCCACACCGCCUGGUUCAUGCCCGACCUCGUUUGAUCUCGGAAGCUAAGAUAGGUUGGGCCUGGUUAGUUCUUUGAUAGGAGACCGCCUGGGAAUACCAGGUGCUGUAAGGC
ensembl:rRNA 5S_rRNA 5S ribosomal RNA